rnacentral:rRNA from 1 species
AUGAUCCAUGAUCAUUUUUCCUCCCUACUGGGCACGGCAACGCACCGCGACACCACUGUCAACUGGCACUCUUUAGAAAUGCCCAGGCUACUAGGCGGAGGGCUCGACAACCCCUUCACGGAGGAGGAAGUGUGGCGUGCAAUCAAGGUAUCACCGGCCGAUCAAGCGUCGGGACCAGAUGGCUUCUUCGGCAUCUUCUUUAGGUCAUGC